GACGAACGCUGGCGGCGUGCUUAACACAUGCAAGUCGAGCGGUAAGGCCCUUUCGGGGGUACACGAGCGGCGAACGGGUGAGUAACACGUGGGUGACCUGCCCUCAGCUCUGGGAUAAGCCUGGGAAACCGGGUCUAAUACCGGAUAUGACUCCAUGACGCAUGUUGUGGGGUGGAAAGCCUUGUGCGGCUGAGGAUGGGCCCGCGGCCUAUCAGCUUGUUGGUGGGGUGANGGCCUACCAAGGCGACGACGGGUAGCCGGCCUGAGAGGGCGACCGGCCACACUGGGACUGAGACACGGCCCAGACUCCUACGGGAGGCAGCAGUGGGGAAUCUUGCGCAAUGGGCGAAAGCCUGACGCAGCGACGCCGCGUGAGGGAUGACGGCCUGGUU
rnacentral:rRNA from 1 species